CUUCCCCAGCCAGGCUGCCACCUCGCAGUUCAAUCUCAGACUGCUGUGCUAGCAGUGGGGAAGGCUCCGUGGGCAUGGAAACUGCCGAGCCAGGCACAGUAGAGAAUCACCUUGUCUGCCGGUUGCUAAGACCUUUGGAAAAGUGCAGUAUUUGGGUGAGAGUGUCCUAUUUUUCCAGGUACAGUCUGUCACGUCUUCCCUUGGCUAGGAAAGGGAAAUCCCCCGACCCCUUACACUUUCCGGGUGAGGCAACGCCCCACUCUGCUUCAGCUCACCCUCCAUGGGCUGCACUCACCUUCCAACCAGUCUCAAUGAGAUGAACCAGGUACCUCAGUUGGAAAUGCAGAAAUCACCCGUCUUCUGCGUCAAUCACGCUGAGAACUGCAGACCAGAGCUGUUCCUAUUUGGCCAUCUUGGAACCGGUCUGAGUCUGUUUUAGCCAGAUCAAGUACUUGGUUAGACUUCUCCUAUGGAGAAUGCAGCAAGAAAAUACCAUCUUGAAGCAGAGAGCAGCGCUCAUCAGGCAUCAGUCCUUCUGGAGCCUUGAUCUUGGACCUCCCAGCUCC
rnacentral:lncRNA from 1 species